UUCGCUUGUUGUGGUAGAAUUUCAAGCAUCCUUUUUUUGGGUUUGGAUUUUGAUGGUAAUGUGCUGUGCGUAAUUAUUUGAUAAUUCUAGACAUGGAUUUUUCUUUUGAGGGAAGUGCACUUGAUCCAUCAAAAUGUAGCAAGCUAAGCAUGGAUGAGAAGAGAGAACUUGUCUAUCAAUUAUCAAAAUGUGCAGGUGCCUGUGAAAUGCUACAGUCAUGGAGCCGUCAGGA
rnacentral:misc_RNA from 1 species